AGUGUGAUAUAUCAUCGAAUUCCAGCGACCACAUCGAAUAUGACACAGACACCGCCCCGACGUGGAUAAACAUUGGUGUAAUAGUAGUAGGCGUGAUCACUAUAUCGGUGAAUAUCCCUGCUGUGAUUGCCGUUAUUUUGACUAAGGUUCAGUACCCUAAUGCACGGAAUACAUAUCUUCUAGUUUUAGGGAUAACUGACAUUCUCGCUGGAGUAUCUUUGUUUCCAAUUCUGAUAACAUUUAUCAACCCUAACAGUAAAAUAAGUUAUAUAUCAUGUUUUCUUCGGAUGUUCUUUUUCACGCUUACCUACUACAACUCAAUAGGCCAAGUAUGUGUCAUUUGUAUUGACCGAUUUUUCUUGCUAUUGAAGCCAUCUUGGAGAUAUACAUCCAAGUACGAAAGAAGAUAUUUCAAAAUGUUCAGUGUAAUGUUCUUGCUGACUUUUGUAUGGAAUUGCUCAAUAUUCUUUAUCCAUGGACAUCCACAAACAGAAAAAAUCGUGUGUAAACUCGAUAUUCUUUUUUGCAAUAAUUUCCAUCAGUUUAGUUCUUUCGUUGGAGGAGCUGCUGUUUUGAUUCAGUGUUUGAUUAUCACAUGUUGUGUAGCGAUGAUUGCAGUUUUGCAUCGACACAGACGGAAACGUCAGAAAAUUGUACCGGCAAACAGGACCGAAGAACCCAUAGAGGGAUCUUCAAACAGACAAGGCUAUCUUACACAGGAAAACCAAUAUCGUAAAAUGACAGCGGAAGGGAAAAGUACUUUGACCAUCGUUAUAAUCAUCAUCAACCUUAUUAUCUGUGUGACACCACUGAACAUGGGAUUUGUAAUGCAAGGUUUGCGUUUAGUAGAAACAACCAGUCGAACAACAAGGUUUUGUAUCACAACUUUGUCAUGUGCAAAUUCAGCAAUCAAUCCCUUUAUCUAUUGCUUCAGAACACCAAAUGUGAAAGCUACUUUAAAUGCAGGACUCGACAAAAUUAGAGCACUGUUUUGACAAUAUAGAGAUCAAAUUUAUCUAAAGUGUGUUGUACCUUAGCAACUGAUUUUGUGUACUUAGUAACUAGCAGCCAGGUUUUGUGAGCCUGACCUACCUGUGUGUGGUUUCUAUCUUAUGCCGUUUUAUACAAAUAUACGGGAUACUGAUGGUGCAUAAACUAUUCAUAAAAUCAUAGUAUAUUACUGAAAUAUUAAUCAUUUUUUGUUACGGACCAUAUCUGAAUGUAUGCACGUGCGAAACAGCUAGAUCCUGGUUUUUAUUUUGUCAUGCCAUACUAUUUACUAAUCUUGACCUACAGUACCAAACAGUGAAUUGAUAAGUGACCUUGACCUUACUGUCACAAAGAGGUUUAGUGAUGAUUUGGGGCCUUUCGUCUACUAAGCUGGCGGUGAAAGAUUUACUCCCUUGGCCAAUCUGGCAAAUAUGUGUGUCGCUUUAAUUUUUGUUUCAAACGGUUAUUUCAUUUUAAUAUAAUUUUGUGGCCUUUUUGCGUGUGUAAGAGUAAGUAUACAAUUAAUUAAAGUAUGGGUUUCAGGGGUGUUGCAAGUUUCUGGUUUUCAAAGAUCAGGUAUAUUUCCCGGAUGAAGCCGAGGCGAAUAGGCAUGGUCGAGGAAAACAAGAAACUUGCUUUAUGUCCCUCAACUCCAUAUUUUAACCGUUUUAUUAUACUGAUACAGAUUUUAACUCGUAAAUAUUUGUAAUACACAUGUUGUAUAGAUGUGUCCUGUCAUUUCAAUAAAAAUGGAUCGAAAUUCGAAAGUGAAUUGAACCAUACAGGCUAUGAUGACCUACAUUUAUUAUGAAUAUAUUACACAAAAUAAAGAGAAGGGUUGAUACUUGACAUGGAAAUGAAUUAUCGCUGUCUAAAGAUAGUGUUUGUGUAGCCCAUAGCCAUCAUCAUCCCGAAAUUUAAAAUAAAAUGUUCUAAAAUAUUUAAUCGAAUUUUAUCAAAAUGGCAGCCGUCACAUGUCGACAUAGGCAUUAUGUAAGUACUAGAGAUGGACCCGCAGGGCAAGACAAAGCGCGGGAAUUACCUGGGCACGUCCACGCGGGCUGUGUGCGGACCGAAGGGACAAGUAAACAAUGGCGUAACCUGAGGUAGAUACCACAGUGUGUAAAUUCAGGGAGUUUAAUGAAUAAGCGUGAACUACAGCUCACACUUAUUAUCCAGUCUGUUAACGAAAACUACGGUAGCCUAUAAGGGCCGAGGAAGAUGAAACUCCAGUUGGCAUCUACGGAUGUUUGAACACACCAUAAGUCGUGCGUCAUGAAUAGACAUUCAGGUUGUGUUGGGAUAUGUGUAUCCUGAUAGGGUUAUACUGUUGGUACAACCCGCAGUUAGACACUACUUCCUAGUAUGGAGGCCGGUAGUGUCUCGUUCAUGGUGAGGUAUGGAGACCCGGUGAGGUAGUGGACCAGGUGUUUUACCGGAGAUAUUCAGCAGCUGAGAUACUGUUCAGCUACAGUCAAAGGCCUGAACAUUCUGUGGUGGAGUAGACAUUUGUACUUGUUUCGUGGAGGAUAGACUUUGUUGUGAACAGAGGGAUGAGCUACCAGACAGUUUGGUUAUAAUAUAGUAAUAUAGUGUCAGGUUGGGGAAAUCUGCCAUUUUCAGCUAUAUAGCUGAUUUUAGCUACUCUAGCUCAACAUAGCUACUAUCGACAGCUAGAUUCAGUUACUUCAAAACAAUUUACCUGUUGCCGUGUCAAAUACACAAAGUCGCACGUGCGCCGCAAAACAAUCGGGUACGCUACCAUAUAUUUAAACAACUUCCACGAAUAUAAAUCGGAUAUAAAAA